rnacentral:rRNA from 1 species
AACGAACGCUGGCGGCAGGCUUAACACAUGCAAGUCGAGCGCCCCGCAAGGGGAGCGGCAGACGGGUGAGUAACGCGUGGGAAUCUACCGAGCCCUGCGGAAUAGCUCCGGGAAACUGGAAUUAAUACCGCAUACGCCCUACGGGGGAAAGAUUUAUCGGGGUUUGAUGAGCCCGCGUUGGAUUAGCUAGUUGGUGGGGUAAAGGCCUACCAAGGCGACGAUCCAUAGCUGGUCUGAGAGGAUGAUCAGCCACAUUGGGACUGAGACACGGCCCAAACUCCUACGGGAGGCAGCAGUGGGGAAUAUUGGACAAUGGGCGCAAGCCUGAUCCAACCAUGCCGCGUGAGUGAUGAAGGCCUUAGGGUUGUAAAGCUCUUUCACCGACGAAGAUAAUGACGGUAGUCGGAGAAGAAGCCCCGGCUAACUUCGUGCCAGCAGCCGCCGUAA